rnacentral:rRNA from 1 species
CAGUAGGGAAUCUUCGGCAAUGGGGGCAACCCUGACCGAGCAACGCCGCGUGAGUGAAGAAGGUUUUCGGAUCGUAAAGCUCUGUUGUAAGAGAAGAACGUGUGUGAGAGUGGAAAGUUCACACAGUGACGGUAACUUGCCAGAAAGGGACGGCUAACUACGUGCCAG